rnacentral:rRNA from 1 species
UGGGGAAUAUUGCACAAUGGGCGCAAGCCUGAUGCAGCCAUGCCGCGUGUAUGAAGAAGGCCUUCGGGUUGUAAAGUACUUUCAGUCGGGAGGAAGGUGGUAAGGUUAAUAACCUUAUCAAUUGACGUUACCGACAGAAGAAGCACCGGCUAACUCCGUGCCAGCAGCCGCGGUAAUACGGAGGGUGCAAGCGUUAAUCGGAAUUACUGGGCGUAAAGCGCACGCAGGCGGUUGAUUGAGUCAGAUGUGAAAUCCCCGGGCUUAACCCGGGAAUUGCAUCUGAUACUGGUCAGCUAGAUUCUUGUAGAGGGGGGUAGAAUUCCAUGUGUAGCGAUGAAAUGCGUAGAGAUGUGGAGGAAUACCGGUGGCGAAGGCGGCCCCCUGGACAAAGACUGACGCUCAGGUGCGAAAGCGUGGGGAGCAAACAGG